rnacentral:rRNA from 1 species
UGGGGAAUAUUGCACAAUGGGCGCAAGCCUGAUGCAGCCAUGCCGCGUGUAUGAAGAAGGCCUUCGGGUUGUAAAGUACUUUCAGCGGGGAGGAAGGUGUUGUGGUUAAUAACCGCAGCAAUUGACGUUACCCGCAGAAGAAGCACCGGCUAACUCCGUGCCAGCAGCCGCGGUAAUACGGAGGGUGCAAGCGUUAAUCGGAAUUACUGGGCGUAAAGCGCACGCAGGCGGUCUGUCAAGUCGGAUGUGAAAUCCCCGGUCUCAACCUGGGAACUGCAUUCGAAACUGGCAGGCUAGAGUCUUGUAGAGGGGGGUAGAAUUCCAGGUGUAGCGGUGAAAUGCGUAGAGAUCUGGAGGAAUACCGGUGGCGAAGGCGGCCCCCUGGACAAAGACUGACGCUCAGGUGCGAAAGCGUGGGGAGCAAACA